rnacentral:rRNA from 1 species
AUUGAACGCUGGCGGCAGGCCUAACACAUGCAAGUCGAGCGGAUGAAGGGAGCUUGCUCCUGGAUUCAGCGGCGGACGGGUGAGUAAUGCCUAGGAAUCUGCCUGGUAGUGGGGGAUAACGUCCGGAAACGGGCGCUAAUACCGCAUACGUCCUGAGGGAGAAAGUGGGGGAUCUUCGGACCUCACGCUAUCAGAUGAGCCUAGGUCGGAUUAGCUAGUUGGUGGGGUAAAGGCCUACCAAGGCGACGAUCCGUAACUGGCCUGAGAGGAUGAUCAGUCACACUGGAACUGAGACACGGUCCAGACUCCUACGGGAGGCAGCAGUGGGGAAUAUUGGACAAUGGGCGAAAGCCUGAUCCAGCCAUGCCGCGUGUGUGAAGAGGGUCUUCGGAUUGUAAAGCACUUUAAGUUGGGAGGAAGGGCAGUAAGUUAAUACCUUGCUGUUUUGACGUUACCAACAGAAUAAGCACCGGCUAACUUCGUG